GGUUGUGGCUCAGUGGUAGAGCGCUCGCCUAGCACGUGCAAGGCGGUGGGUUCAAUCCUCAGCACCA
rnacentral:tRNA from 1 species